rnacentral:rRNA from 1 species
GAUGGUGCUUGCACCUGAUUGAUUUUGGUCGCCAACGAGUGGCGGACGGGUGAGUAACACGUAGGUAACCUGCCCAGAAGCGGGGGACAACAUUUGGAAACAGAUGCUAAUACCGCAUAACAACGUUGUUCGCAUGAACAACGCUUAAAAGAUGGCUUCUCGCUAUCACUUCUGGAUGGACCUGCGGUGCAUUAGCUUGUUGGUGGGGUAAUGGCCUACCAAGGCGAUGAUGCAUAGCCGAGUUGAGAGACUGAUCGGCCACAAUGGGACUGAGACACGGCCCAUACUCCUACGGGAGGCAGCAGUAGGGAAUCUUCCACAAUGGGCGCAAGCCUGAUGGAGCAACACCGCGUGAGUGAAGAAGGGUUUCGGCUCGUAAAGCUCUGUUGUUAAAGAAGAACACGUAUGAGAGUAACUGUUCAUACGUUGACGGUAUUUAACCAGAAAGUCACGGCUAACUACGUGCCAGCAGCCGCGGUAAUACGUAGGUGGCAAGCGUUAUCCGGAUUUAUUGGGCGUAAAGAGAGUGCAGGCGGUUUUCUAAGUCUGAUGUGAAAGCCUUCGGCUUAACCGGAGAAGUGCAUCGGAAACUGGAUAACUUGAGUGCAGAAGAGGGUAGUGGAACUCCAUGUGUAGCGGUGGAAUGCGUAGAUAUAUGGAAGAACACCAGUG